CUGCAUGGCUGUCGUCAGCUCGUGCCGUGAGGUGUUGGGUUAAGUCCCGCAACGAGCGCAACCCUUGUCGUUAGUUGCCAACGCGUAAUGGCGGGCACUCUAGCGAGACUGCCUAGGUUAACUAGGAGGAAGGUGAGGAUGACGUCAAGUCCGCAUGGCCUUUAUGUCCAGGGCUACACACGUGCUACAAUGGUCGGUACAAUGGGAAGCUAAGUCGUGAGAUGGAGCAAAUCCUUUAAAGCCGGCCCCAGUUCAGAUUGGAGUCUGCAACUCGACUCCAUGAAGAUGGAAUUGCUA
rnacentral:rRNA from 1 species